CCCUUAGAUGUCCUGGGCUGCACGCGCGCUACACUGAUGUGUCCAGUAAGCACCUAACCUCUUCCGAAAGGAACGGGUAACCUUUGCAAAGCACAUCGUGAUGGGGAUGGAUUAUUGCAAUUAUUAGUCUUGAACGAGGAAUUCCUAGUAAGCACAAGUCAUCAGCUUGUGUUGAUUACGUCCCUGCCCUUUGUACACACCGCCCGUCGCUCCUACCGAUUGAAGUUUUCGGUGAGUUGACAGGAGGAUUUUUUUGAAACUGGUUCGCCAGUGGAUUUUAGAUCCAAAUGCCAACGAAUCGAUGGCUUUAGAGGAAGGAGAAGUCGUAACA
rnacentral:rRNA from 1 species